AGAGGUCCCAAGCCAGUUGUUUCGGAUUCAUUGGGCGUAAAGGGUGCGUAGGCGGCGCGGUAAGUCGGGUGUGAAAUCUCGGAGCUUAACUCCGAAACUGCAUUCGAUACUGCCGUGCUUGAGGACUGGAGAGGAGACUGGAAUUUACGGUGUAGCGGUGAAAUGCGUAGAUAUCGUAAGGAAGACCAGUGGCGAAGGCGGGUCUCUGGACAGUUCCUGACGCUGAGGCACGAAGGCCAGGGGAGCAAACGGG
rnacentral:rRNA from 1 species